rnacentral:sRNA from 1 species
GACUAAAAAGCUCAGGAAGCUGGUGAUAAGUGAAAACCUUAGUCCCACUGGCACUGCAGUGGGCCUGCAGGGGCCAGGAGAGCAGCAGCAUCAUAAGCCACAGGGGUCAGCCCCGAGUUUGAAUAGCAACAGGGGUCGGUGUGUCCAUCUGAAUCUGAAAUCUAUGAGGCAGGAGCUGGGGACAGGAUGGCAGGCGAGCCCAUGGCUGCUGCUGUACAGCCUACUGAGGUGACUGUUGAAGUUGGUGAGGACCUUCACAUGCACCACAUCCGUGACCAGAAGAUGCCUGAAGCUUUGGAGUUUAACCUUUCUGCCAAUCCAGAGGCAAGCACAAUAUUCCAGGAGAACUCUCAAACAGAUGAUUUGGAAUUUAACCCUUCUGAUAAUCCAGAGGCAAGCACAAUGCUCCAGAGGAACUCUCAAACAGAUGGUUUCAGAAAACAGUACAGCUCAUAUUCGACAAUAUUCCUUGAUGACAGCACAGCCAGCCAGCCUUAUCUUACAAUGACAACAAUAUC